rnacentral:lncRNA from 1 species
GAGGAAAAAAGUCUUUGAAUGCUAGAAUGAUCCUCUGGCAGACCUUUCGCAGCAAAGAAGACAAAUGAAAAGUAAAAAGUUGGCUGAAAGCAAUCCUAUAUAUAUAGGAUCCCUCAACGGUCAGGAUCAAAGCAUCCAAAUCAAGAUCUUAUCAGAUAUUGACACAUGGUGACAUCUGAGUCGAUUAUUGAUCGCACCUACUCCAGAUCGAGCCACGUCACCACUAUCCGCAUGAACAGCUCC